rnacentral:rRNA from 1 species
GAUGAACGCUAGCUACAGGCUUAACACAUGCAAGUCGAGGGGCAGCAUGGUCUUAGCUUGCUAAGGCCGAUGGCGACCGGCGCACGGGUGAGUAACACGUAUCCAACCUGCCGUCUACUCUUGGACAGCCUUCUGAAAGGAAGAUUAAUACAAGAUGGCAUCAUGAGUCCGCAUGUUCACAUGAUUAAAGGUAUUCCGGUAGACGAUGGGGAUGCGUUCCAUUAGAUAGUAGGCGGGGUAACGGCCCACCUAGUCUUCGAUGGAUAGGGGUUCUGAGAGGAAGGUCCCCCACAUUGGAACUGAGACACGGUCCAAACUCCUACGGGAGGCAGCAGUGAGGAAUAUUGGUCAAUGGGCGAGAGCCUGAACCAGCCAAGUAGCGUGAAGGAUGACUGCCCUAUGGGCUGUAAACUUCUUUUAUAAAGGAAUAAAGUCGGGUAUGCAUACCCGUUUGCAUGUACUUUAUGAAUAAGGAUCGGCUAACUCCGUGCCAGCAGCCGCGGUAAUACGGAGGAUCCGAGCGUUAUCCGGAUUUAUUGGGUUUAAAGGGAGCGUAGAUGGAUGUUUAAGUCAGUUGUGAAAGUUUGCGGCUCAACCGUAAAAUUGCAGUUGAUACUGGAUAUCUUGAGUGCAGUUGAGGCAGGCGGAAUUCGUGGUGUAGCGGUGAAAUGCUUAGAUAUCACGAAGAACUCCGAUUGCGAAGGCAGCCUGCUAAGCUGCAACUGACAUUGAGGCUCGAAAGUGUGGGUAUCAAACAGGAUUAGAUACCCUGGUAGUCCACACGGUAAACGAUGAAUACUCGCUGUUUGCGAUAUACAGCAAGCGGCCAAGCGAAAGCGUUAAGUAUUCCACCUGGGGAGUACGCCGGCAACGGUGAAACUCAAAGGAAUUGACGGGGGCCCGCACAAGCGGAGGAACAUGUGGUUUAAUUCGAUGAUACGCGAGGAACCUUACCCGGGCUUAAAUUGCAGAUGAAUUACGGUGAAAGCCGUAAGCCGCAAGGCAUCUGUGAAGGUGCUGCAUGGUUGUCGUCAGCUCGUGCCGUGAGGUGUCGGCUUAAGUGCCAUAACGAGCGCAACCCUUGUUGUCAGUUACUAACAGGUUCCGCUGAGGACUCUGACAAGACUGCCAUCGUAAGAUGUGAGGAAGGUGGGGAUGACGUCAAAUCAGCACGGCCCUUACGUCCGGGGCUACACACGUGUUACAAUGGGGGGUACAGAGGGCCGCUACCACGCGAGUGGAUGCCAAUCCCAAAAACCUCUCUCAGUUCGGACUGGAGUCUGCAACCCGACUCCACGAAGCUGGAUUCGCUAGUAAUCGCGCAUCAGCCACGGCGCGGUGAAUACGUUCCCGGGCCU